rnacentral:tRNA from 1 species
AGGGGUGUAGCUCAGCAGCAGAGCAUUUGCCUAGCAUUCUUGAAGGCUUGGGUUCCAUCCCCAGCACCACUC